GAGUGAUCGUCUACUACUAGGUCGAAGUGAUAGUAAUAGUAUCCACGUAACUCCAGAGGUUAUGCCACUGCUGACUGCUGCUGAGUGAUCGUCUACUACUAGGUCGAAGUGAUAGUAUCCACGUAACUCCAGAGGUUAUGCCACUGCUGACUGCUGCUGAGUGAUCGUCUACUACUAGGUCGAAGUGAUAGUAUCCACGUAACUCCAGAGGUUAUGCCACUGCUGACUGCUGCUGAGUGAUCGUCUACUACUAGGUCGAAGUGAUAGUAUCCACGUAACUCCUGAGGUUAUGCCACUGCUGACUGCUGCUGCAGCACAAUCACAUUUACAUGUUCCUGUGGAAAUGCAUCUCUAAUCAGUGUUGCCAUCCUUGCAGUGACAUUGCAUCAUAAUUGGCACAGUUCCUCCCAAUCUCAUACACCUGCAUUACCAAGGUAUAGGGGGUUUAUAUAACAAUAAGGCAGUACUUCCCUGGUCUAAAAUCUUCCCAUUUCACAUCUCUCUGUCACUCUUGUCCUCUUUUACUUGUCUCUAGUGUGUCCCUUAUCUUGUCCUCGUGUUUUCUCCUUCUGUCAUUGUUUUCUGUCAUGCUUCAUCGUCC
ensembl:lncRNA